CUCAUAAGCUGGCCGCCAUGUCUCCUGUUCCCCAUCCCUCUCCCAAUCGACACAAACCCCACAUGCUGACGGAUGCAACAUAACUCAGCCUCCUCAAGUGUUUGCAGCCGCCGUUGAGGGUCAAACGAAUGGCUAAGGCGGCGAUGGCAUGGCAAGAGCAGGACCCCCAGAUGAUCGAUCUGGAGGAUGGGUGGAAAUUGAAGCAAACGGGCAUCAAACAUCCUUGCGGGAGAGUUUACACUACAAAUCGGGAGCCUCGCCACGGCCGCCGAUAUCCAUCUUUGGGGCUAUCUCUGUCAGCAUAUUCAACUUAUGUACCGACAAGUUAACAUUCUUCUUUAUAAAUAAAGAUUCUGAAGCCUCUCCUAAACUGUUGAAGAAGAAAAAAUGUUCGAUGUACAUGUUUCUUAAUUUUGAAGAAUUGUCGUCGACCGCAAGUGUGUUGUUGGCCGUCUCAAGAUAUCACCACUGGAGCAGCAUCAGCUUUCUAUCUCACUGAUCACCUAUGACUUAAGAAUUCCAUUUUGGACAUGUAUUCCCGCUGUUUUUCUCAUUCAACUUAUAGUUCUCUUUUCUUUUAUGAUUACACUUCACCAGCCGUACAUGAUAGUUCAUACUAUCCAACCUCCUCCGAAUAAAUUUUGUGUAUAGGAAUGUGGAUCAUGGAACAAUGGAGAGAACUGAAAAAUAAUUAUUAUACUUAUACUUAGCCACCA